rnacentral:lncRNA from 1 species
AUACUAGUAUACAAAUUAUAGCUUUUAUUAUCUCAAUUUAUCUUUAACGUAACUAUACAGGAACACAUGCAUGUAUCACCAGAAAAAUAAGAACAUUUGAUUAUUUGUGAAAAAAUAAAAAAUACACAAUUUUAAGUACAAUGUAGGAGAAAACUAUUUUAAUUAUUACAAGACAGUCAUGUUCAAGUGACUGUCAGUCAGGGGCAAAAUAAUUUUACAAGACAUAUUAAUUUACUUUAAGAUUGUAAGUAGUAAUGUGCAAUGUAUAAGUAAUUUUGCAAGAUUUUUAUUUAUUUUCAAGGUUUGAAUUGUCUCCCCUUAAUAUCCUACUAACUUUACAAGUAAAUGUUAUUAAAUUCUCUAGUUUUUGGGAGGUCAAGAUAUGCCUGACAGAAUGUUUCUGGUUUGCUCAUAAAGUUUCAAUUAGAGCUAAACAUUUAUUUCAAGAAUUAAGCAAAGAAAUCUAUGAUGCAAAGAUUUUAAGUAGCUGUGCAAGACCUUCAAAAAUUGUUCCCUGGAGGCUGGUAAAUAAGCAUUAUUUUGAUUAUAACUGACAAAUGUGAUUUUCACUGUCCAUUAAACAGUCAGAAGUACUACUUAAACAAGUGAUUUCAAAAUCACUUCCUUGAGUGAUAUUGGCUGUGAAAUAUUUAAAAUUUUCACUCAGACUUUUCAAAAUCACUGAAACAAGUAAUUUGAGAAAUUAAAAUGUAAUCACUUCAAUAAGUGUUUAUAACAUUUUGGGGAAAUUUUCCCCACAAGCUUGAUUUGUUUAUUGGUUAAAAGACCAAAAUACCAUUGAAAAAACAACUAUGUACAUGCAGAAAUUGUCAUUUGCUUAAUAAGACUCAGUUUUUAGUUUA